rfam:Rhodnius prolixus Rhodnius_prolixus-3.0.3-2215.2, whole genome shotgun sequence.
UUUUACCCGCCUAUCUUCCUGAAACAGUGGAAAGGGCAAAAUAGGCAAAUUUGCCUGAUAACGCAUAAACGCAGCAAUGGCGUAAGACGUAAUGCGUAAUCAAGCAGUUAGCGGGCUGCGGAUGGCAGCUUGACCGGUAAAUGGAAUCAGAUCUGGUGACCCUUUUUCAGAAGCUGUUCCCUCAAUAAAUGUGCUGUUUUCCAUCAGGAAAUACAGGCUACCGAAAUAUGCGCCUCUAUGCAAGCGACAACCGGGAGGUUGACGUCCCUGCGAUAAGCCACGAGGCCAUCGGUGAACCCGGUCAUUCAGCAUCUUUGUCCGUAGCUCUAUCAAUGA